GCCUGAGACAAUAGAGCUGAGAGAGAGGAUCCGGAGCGAGGCCGAGGUCCGAGGACCAGGAAAACACAAAAAAGGAGGAUAGGCUCGUAAAGUUUUUCUUAUCGGAGCAGAGGGACAGGAAACAGCCUCAUCAAUACUCAGUAACCAAUAAUCAGUCAACAUGACCAUCCACCAUGACCAUCCUCCAAAGUUUAAAAGACAUGGACGUUUACCAACAGCGCCCCCAUGUGGUCUGAUGACGGAGUUUAAAUGAGCCAGGAGGAGAAGACUGCGGUCACGAGAGUUCAGAUGAGGGGGUACUGUGGUCAUUCUGUUCCCAGUGCCAAGAGGCCAAAGGGUGAAAACCUGAAGAAGAGUCUAACCUGGAUUAAUGAGAAUAAAACAAAAUGAUCUA